GAGAGGAAGUGCGCCCAACGCCAUAGGGAGGUCAAGAGAGUCAAGGAUAGAAACAAAUGUGUCCAUUAGAUUAGCAACCAAGAAGGACUUAGAGCGCUCAGCGCAAGGAAUUUCUGUGAAGUGGGAGAGACAGACUGCAGAUGUUGGGAUUGUGCAAAAAGAAGAUAUUUGUCUGGAGUUUAUACUUAAAAAUAACUGUUGUUAAGCCAAAGAAUGUGGGGGUACUUCUUCUACACAGAUCCUCCUUCUGAAGAUGUUGGUCUUCUUCCUUGCCUGCCACCCCCUCCCACACUUGAUUCAAAUGGAAGGUUGACUUUCUUGGAUGGCAAGGGGACGAGGACAGACUUAUCCUCUGAAUUUUGAAGAAGGCAGCGAGCACGGUCCCUCGGCUCCUGCCUCUCCUCUUCUGGAGUCUGUCUGUUUGCAUGAAGCAUGUGUGUUCAUCUGCUCAAGACUUCAGCAGUGAAGGCCCCUGCCCCUGUGGGCAAGACCUGUGGGUUUCCUGCCUUGCCUGUGACUGGCGUCUCCCUGAUACUGGACACCACCCAGCUGUUGGAGACCCUGGAGGCCGAGUCUGAGGCUCCGACAUUGCAAUUCAAACCCCAAAGCACAGCGGAUCUUCGUCCUGCUUUCAGAGAAGUCAUUAGCUUCAUUUUUUCUUUGCUGGACACUGUAGCCGACCCCACUGGAGAUAAGAAGAAACAGAAUGUCUUCUGUCUUCCCUAGGACAGCUGCAUCAGCAUAUAUUUUCCAAUUAAAGCUUUUAAGUAUUUGACUUAUACAUUUAUGAACACCCCCAGUGGACUGUUCGGAUUUGGUUUAAUCUCCAAGAAAACUGGCAUUAAAAUAGACCUUUUCCCAGCAAUAAUAAUCUCAUUUACGAUAAAUUAUUCUAUUCUCAGUACCUUUGAGACACAUGAGAGCUUUUAUGUAAUAAAGAAGCCAUUUAUUUCCGAA
rnacentral:lncRNA from 1 species